rfam:Gossypium raimondii chromosome 5, whole genome shotgun sequence.
AUCCCAUGAUGAGGACACUUACGAAGUAACUCCUUGAAUCACUCCCAAGCCUCAUACAAAAGACUCGUCAUCCAAUUGUUCGAAAGUUGUGAUUUCGUUCCUCAACUU